GACAGAGGUGGCAAGCGUUGUUCGGAUUUAUUGGGUGUAAAGGGCAGGUAGGUGGCUUUGCAAGUCCGGUGUGAAAUCCCAGGGCUCAACCCUGGAACUGCAUUGGAAACUGCAUGGCUUGAGUAUCGGAGAGGUGAGGGGAAUUCCCGGUGUAAGGGUGAAAUCUGUAGAUAUCGGGAGGAACACCAGUGGCGAAGGCGCCUCACUGGCCGAUUACUGACACUGAGU
rnacentral:rRNA from 1 species